CAGGGUGGGAGAUGGGAGCACCGCAGCCCGGCCUCCCCCGGGCGUCACCGGCGUUUGCGCCGACCUUAGGUGACCCCGUGUGGCCAGGCGCAGGAGGAAGGCCGUGGCGGAGUGCGAACGCCCCCGACGAGGGACGGAGGCUCGGAGAUGGCGAAGCUCGGCUGGAGUCAGGUGUGCCGGCAGCGCGGGAGGCUCGCUGCUGCUCUCGGGGUGGGGAGAAGCCCUCUCUCCCUCCGGGCUGUGACCCCCGCCCACGGGAUCCGCUCCCGGAAGUACCGCGGCUCUGUGCUGCUCCUCGGUUUGGAUGCAGAUUCUGACAGGUUCCGGUGGUUGUGGGAGCUCAUGGCGUGUGUGCGAGGGGUCGUCUCUUCCUCUCUACACCGGCGUCGCUGGAAAGGGCUCCUGGAAACUUAAUUCCAUGUGUCCUGCCCCUGGUCAUUUGAACCAGGAUCUCCAGGCUGCCGCCUUAGCAGCCGUUUGCGUAAGCUGACAGGUUGCCAUGCUUUCGGAAAGGGCUGUCCGUAGUGAUUACCCGACCUUACAGAAUGAUAAAUAGGUGUUCAGCAACUAAGUUUGAGUACUUGCUUAUUGGUGACUUAGAAAUAUGUUCUACUCCCUGACAGAUAUAGGGCAGUCCCUGGGUGACUGGAUGAUAAAAGAAAAUGCAGCGGAGGAGGAAUAUUUUCAAAUUGAAACUGGGAUUGUUAGCUAAUUUAUGUCUUCACUGGAGAAAGCCCAUUUAACUUGGCAUGACUUUCACAGCUUUUACAGUUCAGAGACAGUAUUGGGGGCUUCUGUUGGGAAUGUAUUUUUAUAUUUUCAGUUCAAAUUUCCACCUGUAACAUAAAAGUGUUGGCUUAAUAAUAAGUAUAUUGUCAAUCUAAAAGAACCGUGGACUGUGUGGGGAAAGCCGUAUUUUCUUCCAGAGAUGUACUCCUGGCGUAGAACAAUUCACACAAUCCUUCGAACCCUUCUUUUCUAUCUGUAAAAUAAACGUACUUCUCACCGUCUGA